rnacentral:rRNA from 1 species
UCGAAACCGCAUGGUUUUGAUUUGAAAGGCGCUUUCGGGUGUCGCUGAUGGAUGGACCCGCGGUGCAUUAGCUAGUUGGUGAGGUAACGGCUCACCAAGGCCACGAUGCAUAGCCGACCUGAGAGGGUGAUCGGCCACAUUGGGACUGAGACACGGCCCAAACUCCUACGGGAGGCAGCAGUAGGGAAUCUUCGGCAAUGGACGAAAGUCUGACCGAGCAACGCCGCGUGAGUGAAGAAGGUUUUCGGAUCGUAAAACUCUGUUGUUAGAGAAGAACAAGGAUGAGAGUAACUGUUCAUCCCUUGACGGUAUCUAACCAGAAAGCCACGGCUAACUACGUGCCAGCAGCCGCGGUAAUACGUAGGUGGCAAGCGUUGUCCGGAUUUAUUGGGCGUAAAGCGAGCGCAGGCGGUUUCUUAAGUCUGAUGUGAAAGCCCCCGGCUCAACCGGGGAGGGUCAUUGGAAACUGGGAGACUUGAGUGCAGAAGAGGAGAGUGGAAUUCCAUGUGUAGCGGUGAAAUGCGUAGAUAUAUGGAGGAACACCAGUGGCGAAGGCGGCUCUCUGGUCUGUAACUGACGCUGAGGCUCGAAAGCGUGGGGAGCAAACAGGAUUAGAUACCCUGGUAGUCCACGCCGUAAACGAUGAGUGCUAAGUGUUGGAGGGUUUCCGCCCUUCAGUGCUGCAGCUAACGCAUUAAGCACUCCGCCUGGGGAGUACGACCGCAAGGUUGAAACUCAAAGGAAUUGACGGGGGCCCGCACAAGCGGUGGAGCAUGUGGUUUAAUUCGAAGCAACGCGAAGAACCUUACCAGGUCUUGACAUCCUUUGACCACUCUAGAGAUAGAGCUUCCCCUUCGGGGGCAAAGUGACAGGUGGUGCAUGGUUGUCGUCAGCUCGUGUCGUGAGAUGUUGGGUUAAGUCCCGCAACGAGCGCAACCCUUAUUGUUAGUUGCCAUCAUUCAGUUGGGCACUCUAGCAAGACUGCCGGUGACAAACCGGAGGAAGGUGGGGAUGACGUCAAAUCAUCAUGCCCCUUAUGACCUGGGCUACACACGUGCU